ACCACAGCGCCUGCAGUUGCCUCUAGCGUGAGAUCAGAGGUAGGCUGGGACCUGCCACUCAAGGAAGUCCUGAAGCUUCUCCAAUGGGUUGGCCCUGGUAAGCAGGGUUCACCAAAACUAAGGGAGCAAUAGCCAGUUUCUGACUGGGGCAUUCUGGCCAGAGCGUGGUGAGGGUGCCUCAUGACUUCAAGCCCCAGAGCAAGAUGAAGAUGCUGUAAAGAGGGAUGAUAUGAGCUGGUGUCUGAAAAGAAACAGGAGGCAUGGUUUGUACACACCCAAAGAGCAAAGGUGGGAGAAAAGGAGAUGACCCAAGAAUGAAUGUAAUAAAUGUCAGGACAAGCACUUCACCAACCGAGCAAUCUCUUCUGAGCCUCAUUGAAGAUUAAAAACAAAUCAUCUAGGGCCAGAGCGAUGGCUCAGUAGGUAAAGCCACACGCUGACAAUCCUGCCAAAUGGAAUCCAGCCUCCAGAGCCCAUGGAGGAGAAAAAGAUGACUCCUAUGAGGUGCCUUCUGACCUACUCAUAAUUGUCAUAACAAAAGCCACCCUCUCUAUAAAAAAUGUAAAAAAAAAAAUAAAAUAAUCAUUUUA